CUGGCGCGCUGGGCGCCAGCUAGUAGUCGCGGGGAGCACAAGGCAUGGGGAAACUGGUGACACUGACCCUGCUGGGGGCCUUCCUGGCCCUACUCGGGGAGAGGCUUGUAGCGUUUAGAAAGACAAUUAAUGCAAAUCGAGAACUGGAGCCAAUAGAACCCCAGCACUGCCAACUUAUUGAGGGGCUUGAAAAUGGCUCUGAAGAUAUUGAUAUUCUUCCCAAUGGGCUGGCUUUUAUCUCUAGUGGGUUAAAAUACCCAGGCAUGCCAAGCUUUGCUCCUGAUGAACCAGGACAAAUCUUCUUGAUUGAUAUGAACAAACAAAAAACAAAGGCCCAGGCACUAUCUAUCAGUGAUGGUUUUGACAAAGGAUCAUUUAAUCCACAUGGAAUUAGUACUUUCAUUGACAAAGACCAUACUGUAUAUCUUUAUGUUGUGAAUCAUCCCCACAAGGAGUCCACUGUGGAGAUAUUUAAAUUUGAGAAGCAGCAACGUUCUCUCAUACACCUGAAGACCAUAAAACACAAACUGCUCAAGAAUGUGAAUGACAUAGUGGUUCUUGGACCAGAACAGUUCUAUGCCACCAGAGACCACUAUUAUACCAACUUCUUCCUGUUGCUAAUAGAGAUAUUUAUGGAUCUUCAUUGGACUUAUGUUCUUUUCUACAGUCCAAGCGAAGUCAAAGUAGUGGCCAAAGGAUUUAGGUCUCCCAAUGGGAUCACAGUGUCGCCAGACAAGAUGUAUAUCUAUGUAGCAGAUGUAAUGGCUCACAACAUUCAUGUAAUGAAGAAACAGGAUAACUGGGAUUUAACUCCAUUGAAGGUAAUACAGUUAAACACUUUAGUGGAUAAUUUAACUGUUGAUCGUGUCACAGGAGAUAUUUUGGCUGGAUGCCAUCCUAAUGCCAUGAAGCUUCUGAUCUAUAACCCUGAGGAUCCUCCAGGAUCAGAAGUACUUCGUAUCCAGAAUGUUUUGUCUGAGCAUCCCAAGAUCAACACCCUGUAUGCCAACAAUGGCUCUGUGCUUCAGGGCAGCACUGUAGCUUCUUUGUACCAGAAGAAACUUCUUAUAGGCACCAUUUUUCAUAAAACUCUCUAUUGUGAACUCUAGACCCCAGAGAGUCCAAAAAGUCUGCAUGCUAGAAGUCACCCUCUGAUUGUAUUAUAAAUGGAGCUGAAAUAUGAAUAAAUGGG